rnacentral:ncRNA from 1 species
CCAGCAUCCCUAGUAUUGGAGGCACUGCCUGCCCAGUGACUAAACGUUAAACGGCCGCGGUAUUCUGACCGUGCAAAGGUAGCAUAAUCAUUUGUUCUCUAAAUAAGGACUUGUAUGAAUGGCCACACGAGGGUUUUACUGUCUCUUACUUCCAAUCAGUGAAAUUGACCUCCCCGUGAAGAGGCGGGGAUAAAUCAACAAGACGAGAAGACCCUAUGGAGCUUUAACUAAGUAACUCAAGGAAAGUAAAUUCAACCACCAAGGGAUAACAACACUCCUUAUGAGUUAACAGUUUCGGUUGGGGUGACCUCGGAGAACAGAAAAUCCUCCGAGCGAUUUUAAAGACUAGACUAACAAG